UACAGAGGUGGCAAGCGUUGUUCGGAAUUACUGGGCGUAAAGGGCGCGUAGGCGGCCACCGCAAGUCAGUUGUGAAAGCUCUGGGCUUAACCCAGAAAGGUCAACUGAUACUGCGGGGGCUAGAGUGCAGAAGGGGCAACUGGAAUUCUCGGUGUAGCGGUGAAAUGCGCAGAUAUCAGGAGGAACACCGGUGGCGAAAGGGCGGGGUCUCUGGGGCCGUAACUGACGCUGAGGAGCGAAAAGCGUGGGGAGCGAACAGG
rnacentral:rRNA from 1 species